ACGUCCAAAACAAGUAGACCGGUAAAGCCCAUUAAAAAGAGUGCCACGCAGAAGCACCUCCUGUGUCACUCGAUCCAAACCCGACACAUCUUUCUUUCUAUACGAAAUGAGUUCGACCUUUUUUUCUAAAUAGAAACAGAAAACAAAUUUAGGAAUAGUGCGGGUGCGACGGAACGAAUCAAGUGAGACGAGUCCCCCUUAUGUGUUCCCUCCGGUCCGUUCCCGGGUUGGGUUAGGGGAAGAUCCGAGCGAUUGCCUUCGCGGAUCCAAACGUGCUCACAA
rnacentral:lncRNA from 1 species